rnacentral:lncRNA from 1 species
CUAGAUCUAGAUCUGAGCAAAAUGAAGUGUGUAUGAAGUUUUCUGUUAUGAUUACGCUUUUAUAUGUGCUGUUAAUGAUGCAUGCUAAUCAUGAUUAAGCAAAUGCCAAGGAUUAAUGAAAUUAAAGGUGUAAGUGCAAAUUUGCACAAUGCACCUUAUGCAUGGGAUUGCAAUGUAACAGUACACAAAUGCCUUUGGAAAUCACUUAAAAACCUGUUUUGAACCAGAUGCAAGUGUUAGGAAGUGAAUACAAUGCAUAAUUUUUGAAUUA